ensembl:lncRNA
AGUGGUUGCUAGGACAUUGCCAUGCAGUUGUCAGGGUAUCUAGGUUAUAUUUUAAAACGUGAUUUGUUAAAAGAGUGUUCGCUCUAGUGCCUCCCAUAUUUAUUCUCAUUAAACAACCUACAGUUUGAAUCAAAUUCACAGAUCAUUUGCUAUAGAUCUGUGUGUGAUUGAUAGAAAAUAGAUACACUCUCUGGAGCCAGGAGCUGUAAUGGCAAGUGAAAUGUUUCUGAGCCAGGCCACAUCAACUGACAGACGGGGAAAGCAGGAUCUCCCAUGACCCUUUGCAGUGUGGGAUGGAGAUGUGGAAAUAGCACUCUGCAUUUUGGCAGCAGUCGAGUCCCUCUGGAAGUUUGGACAGCGACCAAAGCGGAGUGGAAAUAGAAGCUGGAAAAGAAAGAGGCAUGCGUUCUGUGGAGUAAAACUACCCGUCAAGCCUUUGCAGCUGAAUAUAGACAGGUGUGUUUGGAGCAGAACUGGAGAUAAACUCUGCAGGAAGACGCAUCUCCAGGAGCAGGAUCGAAACCUCUCAUCCAAGAGCCUCCCGACAGAGUGACUCUCAGCAUGGAGACCCUUUGAAAGCCUUGACUUCACAGCUUUCUUCAUCCCCACCCACCACCAGCUUCAGAUGGCUUUGCCCAAAUGAUGAUCCAGACCAGCACUCCUCAAAAAUCAUAAGGAUUUAUUUUUGUUUUGAAGACAUAAUUGAGUUAUCAGUUUGAAAUGUUGUACUUUGUCUCAGAUUUUUCUCAUAAAGUUUCCUUUAAAAGAAUUGGAUGAGAAAAACUUAAAGGUGCUGUAUGUUAUUUUCUGACUGUACUGAAUCAUAAUAAUAAAUAAAAAUAAAGUUCACAGGCUUAUUUCUCCAAAAACAAAACAAACAAACAAUCAAACAAACAAAACAAUAACAAUGCUACAGCCAGUUAUUCUUCUUUGAAUUGUGUGCUCAGUGUUGGAAUGUCUGUUUUUGUUUUGGUCUGUGUGACUCCGCCCACUGACCGUCUACCACGGGUUGCCAGUUGGUGAAGAACACAGCGUAUUGCAGCCAUGGAAGCCAGCAAACAAAUUGGGUCUACCUG